rnacentral:piRNA from 1 species
UGAAAGGUAGACUUCAUGAUGACAAAGAUGU